AGCCACAUGGAGGCAGUGUAAUAGCGAGAUAGUCAACACACUGCAGAUACUUGAGCAAGAAAUUGCUAAACGCAUGGAUCUAGUAGAAGGUAUUGGGAAGCAAAAUAGAAAAGUCCCAAUUUUCCUUACACCUUCCAUAAGAAAAGGGAUUGAUCUAUUUGUAGCGACUAGAGAGGAAGUUGGCAUUUCUUUAAACAAUCCUUACGUCUUUGCAAAGGGAGGAGAAAGUUUCAUACGAGGAGCUAAUGCAUUGAAAUAUGUCAUAGAUCAAGUAGAACUAAAACAUCCACAAUACAUCAAGUUUCCAAAAAUGAGAAAAUAUUUGGCCACUGUUGU